UAGUCUGGAUCGGACAGCAGAUUUGUACUUCUCCACUAGCUCACUUUCAGUUGGCCACAGCAGAACUGUACAUCUCGACUCUUUUUUUACAGCUUUUCCAUACUGAGGCCCACUUCCUGCCCAGUUGAGGAAAAAAAUCUGGCCUGAAGAUGAAAUGACUGCUUAACAUUACACUAAAACAUCUGGUACCAUUUUAUGCACAGACCCAUGUCUGAGAGCAGGCGAUUCUAGCGGUCUCUCCAGCGGCACCGCGCAUACCCAAACCUCCCCAGGGUGACAUCAUCCCAUAUAUGGACUCUCCAGCCCAGCCCUCCCCCUUUUCCUGGUCCUAAAUUCAUUGCCAGUUCCCCAGUCUGCAGCAAAUGUGCCACGUCAAGACUGGAAAUCACAGCCCUUGAGUGUGUCUCAGUCAGUGCAGCAGAAUUCAGGGGGGAUAGCCGAAUGCAACCCCUGGUGCAGGAAGGGAGGCUUUUCCCAAAGACCGGGACAGGAUUUUAAGUACACAGAUGGAAGCUUCUGGAGAUCCUGCUCCGUCGCCCCAGUGUUCAGACUACCUGUUCAGGACAAUGCCGUUGUACAGUAGUCUGCACAUUGGUUAGACUGGGCAGGGGAGCGCAACGCCACGGACGGCUGGGGACAGAAGUUGCUGUUUCCAAGGAGAAGACUUCUGUUUGCUUUUUCAAAUCUCAUACCCAGUGUUUUUCUUCACAGGUUUUGCACACUAGGGACCAAGAAGCCCUUGGGGACGCCGCUGAGAAAGGACUGUUGGAAAGAAGACCUGUGGGUAAGGCCUCCUUGACUGCUCACCUGGUCUGUGCCCAGGAGAGGCGAGGUGGGGAGCCAAUGAUUUGCGUUCACGUGCGAGAGAAACAGAGGUAUAUGUGUCAUGUGAAGCAAUGCAUUUAGUUUUGAAAGAGUAACAAUAUGUGGUAUAUAGCGAUUUACUCUAUGUUAGUUGAUUUCUGAAGACCUAGAAGUCAAGUAUAUUUUUAAGUUUAAAGUUUUUCCUCCUUUAAAAUGAAAUAUGAAAAGACUCCAGACACUUAAGAAUAACUUAAUGAGGCUAGUUUUUAAUUGUUGAAAUUAAUAAUACAAAGACCUAAAAACUUACUUGAAUAAGGGCUGUAGUAGAACUUUUAACCUCCCCGGGAUUGAAUCCAUUUUGCUUCAAAGUAAAGAAUAUUGGCUAUUUUUACAAUGCUAUCUGAAGAGUGCUUUUUUUUUGAAAAUUUACGUACAUGAUAAUAUCUAACAAUAAAAGAAGAGGCUGCCAAGUUCUUGCCCACCAGACAAUACAAAUGGGACUGACCCAGAAAAGAGCGCCAACCCAGAACCUAGUGAGUCAGCAACUGAUUAAGUCACAGAAUAGAAGAAACCUCUGUCUUCAGAUAUCCCAAUAUACAUCUGUGUCACAUUUUUUUUUUUAAAUCAAAAAAUGGUUGAUAAUUGCUGGUCAGCUGAGACCUCAUGCCUAUAUUUUACAAUGCUUCUAUUUCUCUGAGCAUUUAAAAUGAUAAGGUACUUUGUCUAGAAACCCACUGAUAAAAAAGGAAUUUGUAAACGAAGGCAAAGUUUUCUUUGGUCAGUUUCCAGCUGUCCUGGAGGUGAAGGGGGAUGGGUGGGGAAGGUGGGAGGGAGGAAAACCCUUAAGCUGAAUGAAAUCCCAAUAGAGAGAAUAAUAGAGAAAGUCUGGGUUGCAAUAUGAUCCUUGCUGAACUUUAAAGGUGGGUCUCUUAAAGAAAGUUCUGGAAAAAUGUUACUGCCUCACCCCUAAUUCCCUCAACCCCCAUUUAUAUCUACUCCCAAACAAUUCUAUAUAAUGAAAACAUCUGUUCUAUAGUUUUUUAUGAAAAACUGGACGUAAUCCCUUUUUGUCCUCCUUUACAUUUUUUAAAAUUACAGUGAUUUCUGAACAAAUCCUUUUCUAAAUUACACAUUUUGCAACAAUUCAAAAUUAUCACAAGUUCUCUUUUGCGACCCAUUUUAUUAAACAAGGUUCCCCAAGUUAUCUUUCGUCAAAACAAUCUGCUUUUUUAAAUGACCCUUUUGAUCAUCCUCAAACUGGCGUAAAGAACAUAUAACCUUUUAUUCAUGGGUUUUAGUUAAAAUAUAAAAAGCAUGAAUAAAUUUAGUUAUCUUCUCCACUUAGAUGAUAUAGUAAAGUCUUUCUUUGUUUUUUCUAUUGUGACUUAGAGGCUUCCAUAUUAAUUAUUUUUAAUAGAACAAGAGAUAUUUAAAAUCUAUAUAGUUUCUUUUACAUAAGAAAACAAAAAAAAAAGCCUAUUAGGUAAAUACAGAAGCUUAUUUUCUCCGAUACAUGUUUUUACUAACUGAAGCAGUUACUAAAGAAGAAAGAUAGCUAUAACGGGCUUUUUUUGGUUUUUGGUUUUCGUUUUUUUACUCUGUAGAAAUGACAGAAUUUCAUAACUUGGCUUCAUUCACGUAUAUUCAAUUUAAAUGUCUGUCUUCAUAAUAAAUUGCCUUUUUGUUUCUAAGAAACCAACCACAAUUGGUCGCCCACCAAAUUUCUCCCUAGGAUGACUUUUAGUCUGGAGACAGAGAGGACUCGAUUGCGUCCUUGGCAUAAAUACAGGAAUAGGAACAUAAGAAUUAAUUUGUAAGGGGGUAGCCGAGGAGUGCCUGCAAGUGCUUGGUGGAGUCCUGAGGACCCAUUUUUGAUGCAAGCUUUAAACAAAUGAAAAGGAAUCACACUUACUUUUAAAUUGCAUGAGCUAAAUUAAAGAUCCAAAGUAAAAGCUCACUUUAUAAACUCCUGCUGACUGAAGGCAAGGAUGGUAGUUUAAGCAGUGGUAUAUAUACCAGCACGUAUACACACAUAUCAUAAAAUAACCGUGUCUAUUUCCAGGGUAAUUAGAACAAUGUUUAACUUUAUUUUGAUAUUACUUUAUAAGGAGAUAUACAAAUAUUUUAGAGGUCAUGGGAUCUAUUCCAGAGGAAACUAACCAACAGUGACAUCUUCAAGUAAAACUACCCCUGGAUAUGAUGGUUGCAUGCAUCAUUCCUUUAAUUGAGCAGAGUUAACUGGAUCAAAUUAUUUAUGGGAGAGAGAGGGAAAGCUAUACAGAAUUACAGUAAUUUUUAAUUUCCACCAAUAUAUUCUUUGUAAGUGAAUCACUCUAAAUAUUUUCUGUUACACUGAAUGAAGCAACAAUAACAAAAUAGUUUCUUAAGGUAUUUGUUUUUGCAUACUCUGACCUUGUAAUUAUCUAAAUAGCAGCCAAGUUUACUGACAUUUUUGAUUCUAUCAGAAAAAAAAAAUUCUCUACUCAGAAUGAUGACCAGAAACAGAAUCAGACAUUUAUUUUCUUGAAAUCAAAUAAAUGGAAAUUUUCACUUAUCAACUAAUUGUACCAUAUCUAAUUAAUGCAUAAAAGUUCAGAUGUGUAGAAACUGUGAUUUUUUUUAAGUCUCUACAAACAUCUUCCUCUCCAUAAAGCUUCUACUUGCUAUUUUCUCAUAAUUUUAUCAUUAAAGGGAAAUAACAAACUAUGUGUUUUCUUUAAAAUUCUUUGAAAAAACUCCAAGGCACAUACUCCUUGACAAUAAGGUUUUGUUUUGUUUUUGAAGAAAUCCCACUUACUGGAAUUUUGACUAUCUAAAUAUUUUGGUUUUUAAAGGGCAGGGGAACUUGUUAAAUACCUCUAUGAAUGUGAAUUGAUCAUUUAUAUUAAAAUAGCCAGAAUUAUUCUUGAGUCAUCAGAAUUACAUUUCUCUGUUUAACACCAUUAACUCUUUCUUACACAAAGUACAAGAAAAUUUUCCAAAGGGUUUGGUUCUACUUUUUGGAUACGAAAUGAAGUUUCCUUUUCUGUGUUUAAGGUAUUAUUUUGUAACUGUAUGGUACCAUCAAUGUCCACAACACAUUCUGAGCAUCACUGUGUGUAACAACUUUUAGUUUAUACCCUUUUGAUUCAUGGCAUGGCGCUGUAGUUAAUUAGGAGAAGCACGUAAGCUCACAAUGGCUUUUUAUCUGGUUUUCACAUCCAUACUUAAAAACUUCACAUUAAAAAGAAUAUGAGAAAUUUAAAUAAGUUCCUGUUGCUUUAUGGAGUAUUGGCAAAAAUACAUUCCCAUGUAAAAUCCCACUCUGAAAGCAUCAGAUACCAAAGUUGGCUGGUUGAACUGCCAGAUACAUCAGGCUCAUAAAUUAUUUUGAAAAUGGCUGCCGUUUCCAUGUAAAUGACAAGUUUCUUUUUCAUGGGCUAUGGUACUUAUCUACUACAAGAAACAUGUAUAAACAUAGUCUUUAUCUUUAACUUCAGUAUUAAAAUAUGCAGAGUUUUUGUGAAGAGGAAAAACAUCUGGUUCAAUUACUCUGAACUCUGACUGCAUGUGGGCCAGUAAUAAUAAUAUGAAUUGGAUUUAAGAAUAAACCUUAUAUUUAAUCUUUUGUUUUGUUUUUCCUUAAAAUUUCGAUGUGAGUUUUCUGUCACGUCAAUUAUCCAUGUUAGCACAUUUGGAACAAAUGUAAAAAUGUACAUUCUGAAUAAAGUCAAAAGUCUAACUUGUUUUAGUUCCAUAAUGUUUUAAUGUUUAAUUCUAUUGUGUGUUUCUCUCCCUUUCCCCUGACCCUCCAAAAUCACCAAAUCUGGAAAACAGACUGAUUGUAUCUGCCCAUGAGCAAAGGAAGCCCGAAGGAACCAAGGGCCUGGCUGGACGGAGUUGUCAUGUGACUGCCUGUCUACACUUGCUGUGCAGAACAUCCGCUCACCUGUACAGCAGGCACAGACAGGCAGUCACACGACAACCCAGCCUGAAUGACAACCAGCCAUUGAAAGAAAGCAGCCCUCACACCAUAGCAUCUACACCAAGAACUACAACCAAAAUGAGGGGCGCGGGGGCCUGGGGUUUUAAUCUGUUGGUUUAAUACUUAAUUCGUAUGUAUUAUUAUUAUUAUAUUUUGAUUCGAAUAUUGAAACCCACCAAAAGUAAAGUGAGUGGUGCCUAUGAAAUAUAAUAAAACCCAUGUUUGAAAAUGUU